rnacentral:rRNA from 1 species
CACGUAGGGCGCAAGCGUUGUCCGGAAUUAUUGGGCGUAAAGAGCUCGUAGGCGGUCUGUUACGUCUGCUGUGAAAACCCGGGGCUUAACCCUGGGCUUGCAGUGGAUACGGGCAGACUAGAGGCAGGUAGGGGAGAAUGGAAUUCCCGGUGUAGCGGUGGAAUGCGUAGAUAUCGGGAAGAACACCGGUGGCGAAGGCGGCUCGCUGGGCCAAUGCUGACGCUGAGGCGCGAAAGCGUGGGGAGCAAACGGG